rnacentral:rRNA from 1 species
GUCCUACGGGCCGCAGCAGUGAGGAAUAUUGGUCAAUGGUCGCGAGCCUGAACCAGCCAAGCCGCGUGAGGGAUGAAGGUACAGAGUAUCGUAAACCUCUUUUGUCAGGGAACAAAGGCGGGGACGUGUCCCCGGAUGAGUGUACCUGAAGAAAAAGCAUCGGCUAACUCCGUGCCAGCAGCCGCGGUAAUACGGAGGAUGCGAGCGUUAUCCGGAUUUAUUGGGUUUAAAGGGUGCGCAGGUGGGCUGUUAAGUCAGUGGUCAAAGCUCGGGGCUCAACCCCGG